AGAAUUCUCCUUCUUCUUAGCCAUUAGAACAUAAUCUUCAAGAUAUUUAGGUUUAUUGAUCUGUCUUUGUGUUCUUCUUAACACAGGACUUGGAGAGUUAGUGUUCUCUGCAGUAUUUUCUGCAGUUUCAUGUUCCUCUUCUUCUUUUGCUUCAUAUUCUGUUUCAUUCUCUACCUCAUGCUCUAUUUCUUCUGUCUCAUCAUGAUUCUGCUUAUUCUGUUCUAUGUUAGCAUGUUCUGAUUGACUGAUUUCUUCAUAAUCUUGAAGUCCAUGAUUUCCAAAGUUAU
rnacentral:sRNA from 1 species